ensembl:lncRNA LINC01298 long intergenic non-protein coding RNA 1298
AGAAAGACAUGGGAGGGCAGGGGCAAGAACGGCAGCCUCUCCCUAGCUCACAUCUCACCAGGGUUGGCUAAGCAGUCCUCCCCUUGCCCCACGAGUGGCAGGACAGCUCCCAACACUUCUCUAGGCUUAAAGUACAUGUGGAAGGGCGAGCCUCCCAGGAUUCUCAAACAGAAGCAGCCUGCCAGGCUGAGCCAUCCAGAAGGUUGAAGAAAAAUGCCGUCGUGGUCCCCUGCCUGCUUACUCAGCGUGUCAAGCAGGAGUUCUCAGCUCCAGUGUGCCAUGGAGGGCCUUGGGAAGAGGUCACAUACCAUUCCCAUCCCCAGGCACAGGAGCACUGAGGACCCUUCUUGACCUCCUGGAUCAGAAAGGCAGAGGAAAUGCUGGGCAGAAGUCAAGGUGUCAGUGGGCUGCCCUCCCUCCGGAGGCUCCAGGGGAGAAUCUAUUCCUCGCCUCUUCCAAUUGCUGGUGGCUGAUGGCACACCUUGGCUUGUGGCCACAAUACUCCAAUUUCUGCCUCCAUGGUCACACUGACUUCAUUUCUUCUGUGUGCAUCAAAUUUCUCUCUGCUCUGUGAUUGCAUUUAGGGCCCCUGGAUCAGCAAUGUCAUAAAAGACCCCAGUUCUUCCCCUGUCUCCUCUCUGCCGUCUUUGGGGUGUUGAUUUGACCCUUAAACUAAUUUUCCUUAUGGCCACAAGAUAGCUGCCACUGUGUCAAAUAUUACAUGCAGUCUCAAUGAAGGCUAGAGAUAAAAUAGAA